rnacentral:piRNA from 1 species
UCUCAUACAAGCUUGCCAGGUCCACUCAC